UGACUUCAGUGGGCUUAGGAU
rnacentral:miRNA from 2 species